AUUGAACGCUGGCGGCAGGCUUAACACAUGCAAGUCGAACGAGUGGCGGACGGGUGAGUAAUGCUUGGGAAUCUAGCUUAUGGAGGGGGAUCACUACGGGAAACUGUCGCUAAUUCCGCGUACCAUAGGAUGAGCCCAAGUGGGAGUAGGUAGUUGGUGAGGUAAAGGCUCACAAAGCCGACGAUCUCUAGCUGGUCUGAGAGGAUGACCAGCAACACUGGGACUGAGACACGGCCCAAACUCCUACGGAAGGCAGCAGUGGGGAAUAUUGCGCAAUGGGGGAAACCCUGACGAAGCCAUGCGGCGGGAAUGAAGAAGGCCUUCGGGUUGUAAAGUACGUUCAGCGGGGAGGCGUUACCCGCAGAAGAAGCAACGGCUAACUCCGUGCCAGCAGCCGCGGUAAUUC
rnacentral:rRNA from 1 species